AUGAACGCUAGCGACAGGCCUAACACAUGCAAGUCGAGGGGUAACAGAAGUAGCUUGCUACUAGAUGACGACCGGCGCACGGGUGAGUAACGCGUAUGCAACCUACCUUAUACUGGGGGAUAGCCCAGAGAAAUCUGGAUUAAUACCGCAUAACAAUGUUGAAUCGCAUGGUUUAACAUUUAAAACUCCGGUGGUAUAAGAUGGGCAUGCGUAGCAUUAGUUAGUUGGUAAGGUAACGGCUUACCAAGACAAUGAUGCUUAGGGGGUCUGAGAGGAUAGUCCCCCACACUGGUACUGAGACACGGACCAGACUCCUACGGGAGGCAGCAGUGAGGAAUAUUGGUCAAUGGACGCAAGUCUGAACCAGCCAUGUCGCGUGCAGGAUGACGGCCCUAUGGGUUGUAAACUGCUUUUUUACAGGAAUAAUUGUCGCUACGUGUAGUGAUUUGAAUGUACUGUAUGAAUAAGGAUCGGCUAACUCCGUG
rnacentral:rRNA from 1 species